UGCUUGUUAGAGCGUUCGAUUCUUUCCAGCUGAAACAGCUUUACACCCUAAGGGCUUCUUCACUCCCGCGGAAUGGCUGGAUCAGGGUUGCCCCCAUUGUCCAAAAUUCCCCACUGCUGCCUCCCGUAAG
rnacentral:rRNA from 1 species